rnacentral:rRNA from 1 species
UGGGGAAUUUUUCGCAAUGGGCGCAAGCCUGACGAAGCAACGCCGCGUGGAGGAUGAAGGUCUUCGGAUUGUAAACUCCUGUCGACCGGGACGAAUGCACUCGACCUAAUACGUCGGGCUGUUGACGGUACCGGUGGAGGAAGCCACGGCUAACUCUGUGCCAGCAGCCGCGGUAAUACAGAGGUGGCAAGCGUUGUUCGGAAUUACUGGGCGUAAAGGGCGCGUAGGCGGCCUUGUAAGUCUCGUGUGAAAGCCCUCGGCUUAACUGAGGAUCUGCACGGGAUACUGCGAGGCUCGAGUUCGGGAGAGGAAAGCGGAAUUCCGGGUGUAGCGGUGAAAUGCGUAGAUAUCCGGAGGAACACCAGUGGCGAAGGCGGCUUUCUGGACCGACACUGACGCUGAUGCGCGAAAGCUAGGGGAGCAAACGGGAUUAGAUACCCCCGUAGUCC